GACACGACUCUCGGCAAUGGAUAUCUCGGCUCACGCAUCGAUGAAGAGCGCAGCGAAAUGCGAUACGUGGUGCGAAUUGCAGAAUCCCGCGAACCAUCGAGUCUUUGAACGCAAGUUGCGCCCGAGGCCAACCGGCCAAGGGCACGUCUGCCUGGGCGUCAAGC
rnacentral:rRNA from 1 species